AUCCAGUUGACGAGUCCUAAAUAGGACGAGACAUACAUCCUAGAU
rfam:Schistosoma curassoni strain Dakar, Senegal genome assembly, scaffold: SCTD_scaffold0002764